AAUUUCAUUUCACACCAACAAUUUCUGUCUUUUCCCAAAACGUUUUUUUUUUUUCGCAUUUCUAGAUCAUCAAUCGGGCGCUUCAUCCAAUUCCAGCAUCCGCCAUGGAUUCUCUUUUCGAGAUUGAUUGCUCGUUCAUGGUGAUUUUGUGAUCUCUGGAGGGCGGUGGCUCCUCUUGAUUUUACGCGAUUAUUGCUUCGAAGAUCCGUACUUGUUCUUCCGACAGUUUCUUCUAUGGCAUCUUGAACGAAGGCCACCGACAUCAAUACAUCAAAGUACUCUGGGCCCAGCAUUGGAGACCGCUGAAUCUACGGGGAAGAGUUCUUCGACAAAGAAAAGGCCUGGCGGAGAUCGAGAGGCUGUGAGCAAGUAUCAAGAGAAAAAGAAAGUCCACGCAGCUUCACUGGAGAAGGAGGUUCCAGCCGCUGAUGAGGAGGCUUCAGGGCCAAGCUGCGGUGGAGAGCGAGAUUGCGAGCCCCAAGUGUUUGCUUGUGGGUUUGAAAAGGAAGAUUGAGGAGAAAUUGGGUCUUUCUUUCCCUUAACAGACGUCAGUGAAAGGCGCUCAGGAUCUAGAUUCAUGCGUUUUCCAUUGCCUGCCAUGAUAAAAGUUACUGUGUCCAUCCAGCGACGCAAUCCAAGAAUGCUGGAGGCAAUGGUGGAAAAAUGCCAUCCAGGAGGAGUUCAAAUUCUGUUUCCGAGGACUAAUGGGCUGUGGAAAUGUAGCUACAAGACUUGCACAUUGCUCAUCUAAUACCACUCACCUUGAAGAGCAAAACCCGGCGAGCUCAGUCAAGGAAAGCCAUUGGGAGGAUGAGUAUGCAUACAAUAGCGACGAAGGGCACUUCGGCAUCUGGCCAUCAGAUUUUUGAAUGUGUAGAGAGAGUCAUUCUUGGCUGAAGCUGACUUAUUGGAAGCAGCCAUCGAUGCAACUAAAUCGGUAAAAAAAAAUGAUGUGGGUCUUGCAUCUUGAGUCUCCUUAUCCACUCAAUUUGUCUAGUUCGCUUGAUUCUUUCACUAUUUCUACUUACUCUAUCUCAGUCCUCAUAUCUCAUUCCAAAACUAUCCAUCAAUUUAGCCUUCCAAAUCUUUCAACCAGUCAUACUUGAGAAGGUCAAGUCUUCUUCAAUCUCUAUGAAAUUAAUGUGAGAUAGAAUCGUGUAUUUUUUUUUUAUGUACAUCUAUACGAUUUAAUAGGUCAAAUCUAAUAGAUUGUUUUUUCGGUUGUUGUAAAAUUCUUUUUUCCAAUCAACCAUAUCAUUUGAAUUAUCUUGAUUAUUAGAGUUUUUA